UCUUGAUCAAUCAGUCAGUGAGUGGUAACUUAGAAUUGUAUAAUAUUAUAUUUGUAAGUUACCACUCACUCACUGACUGAUCUA
rnacentral:pre_miRNA from 1 species